UUUCCACAUAAACAAUAUUCAGUUGUUGCAAGAAGCACAUACUGUACAACAACCAAUCCAUUGAAGGGAUUCAAACAGAUGAUUAGCUCUAUAUUCAAACAGAUGAUUGGCUCUAUAAACAAUCAAUUAAAGUUCUUUUUUCCUUGUAUCAUACAAGAAGGAAAUGUAAGUCACAGUAAAGCCAUCUUCAACAAUUCCACCCUCUCUCCUUUUCCAUUUGACUCCUGUUCUGCUGAGUGUCCUUCAUUCCUGCUCUUCUACCA
rnacentral:misc_RNA from 1 species